AGACACAACUGAAUGAAAUGAAAUAGAAUACACUUUGGGCUAUUGAACAAUGGAGAUCAAGCUGAGGAGGAAGAAAGAGACCAACCUGAGAAAACACAGGCCAGGGCUCAUACAAAACUGAUAACCAUUGCUGUCAGCCUUGCUUUUCGACCUCAAGACAACCCAAGAAGGCCAAGAAAGUCCAACUUUCUUUCUGUCUAGAGGGCAAUGGUGACACAGGAACUCCUGCCACUCUCCACAGCAGAUCCUGCAGAAUAACGAGAGAAGUUACCCAGGGGCCCCUUAAUGAGACAGGACAAGAGCUCUGUGACCCCAACAAGACAGAAUCUACGAGCCCCUUGCUAACCUGGAGAAGCUGCCAAAGACAUACCAUCGCACUUCAUCUUCCCAAUAAAGAUUUCUAGGGUCUACAUGUCUCAGAAGGAAUUUGAGGCAGGAGAUAGAUGGGCACCCCCUCCCCUCCCCAGGGUAAGCAAUUUGAGCUCGUUACCUGCACACAGAAAUUCCAAAAUAUCAACAUCAGGACAAUUGACAGAGGAGACUGGGCUCUGCCCAGAUAAAAGACCAUAUUUUCCUCAUUUAUUGAUAUCAAAGAGACCUUCCAGACUAGAAAGCUCCUCAGAGGUCAAAAGGGGAGUGAUGCUAAGCCACCCAUAGUUCUCUUUGGUGAAAUGCAUCUUGGCUAAGAGGGUGUGUACACACUUUGGAGGAUCUUGAGAUAUAUUAAAUACAGACUCAGAAUGAGGCAAAUCAAAAUGAAAACCCAGAAGAAAUGCAUCAUAUAAGUGAUUUAAACUAUCACCAGGGCAUAAGUCUCACUGAGUCUGCCCAUGUGUCUGUACACACGUACUACACACUUCCCCCUAAUAAACACUUCAUUUGUAUCACUA